rnacentral:rRNA from 1 species
AAGACAAAAAGACCCUAUCGAGCUUAAGCCCAACCCCGAUUUAAACAGUAAAAAUCAGCCAAAGGCUUUUGUUGGGGCAACAACAGAAAAUAAAUAAACACCUGUAAACCUAAAACUCAAUAAAGAAUAUAACCAUCUUUGAUGAAUAUAAAAAAGCUACCGUAGGGAUAACAGCGUAAUUCCUUAAUAGAGACCCUAUCGAAUAAGGAGAUUGCGACCUCGAGUUGGAUAGGAGCCCUCUUUUA